UUCAGUUAUGUCAAACUUAAACUAUCAGUCUGGAUUUUUAUCUCUCCGAAAUUGUAUGGUUUUAUAUUCUCCCAGUCUUCUACUGUGGUAGAAGGGAAAAGAUAACCAAAGAAAAGGGAGGAUGCUUUGAUCUUGUUAUACCCAGUUACUGACAAUAACAAGCCACUCAUUUGAAUACUAUUCUGUUUCAUGCCUUUGUUCUGGAGUACAUGUUUUUCCUAUUGUGGGCAGCAUUUCAAUAUUCAAAUCCUGUCUUUAGCUUGGCAGAAGAAGGUGUGUGGCAGAAUGUGUUUGUAAACCAAAUUAUUCAUGCCAAUGUUUGCUGUUCUACAAUAUUGUGAUGUGAAAUUAUUUAGACAGUAUUAAGACGCAACACAAUCGAACAUUUCAGUUUGAAACCUGAUCAUACACUAUUUCCAGUUGUACACCUGUUGCUACAGAUAUCGAGAGGCAAUGAGGAAGUUAUGAACAGAAAAGCAGAACUUGUGAACACAUGGGCAUGUUUAUGCCAUCUGCUGUAUGUAGUGAGGUGAGGUGAGGUGUGAGAAUAACACAUGGGCAUGUUUAUGCCAUCUGCUGUAUGUAGUGAGGUGAGGUGAGGUGUGAGAAUAACACAUGGGCAUGUUUAUGCCAUCUGCUGUAUGUAGUGAGGUGAGGUGAGGUGUGAGAAUAACACAUGGGCAUGUUUAUGCCAUCUGCUGUAUGUAGUGAGGUGAGGUGAGGUGUGAGAAUAACACAUGGGCAUGUUUAUGCCAUCUGCUGUAUGUAGUGAGGUGAGGUGAGGUGUGAGAAUAACACAUGGGCAUGUUUAUGCCAUCUGCUGUAUGUAGUGAGGUGAGGUGAGGUGUGAGAAUAACACAUGGGCAUGUUUAUGCCAUCUGCUGUAUGUAGUGAGGUGAGGUGAGGUGAGGUGUGAGAAUGAAACACAAUGAAAAGGUAUUGAAAUGGAAUAUGAGGAGUCGAGUUACAAAAAGAGAGAGAGAGGAUCAUUAAAAGAGAAGGGAACAGGAAGACAGAUUGGUCUGCUCAGAUUUAAAUCUACUAUGAGAGAUUUAGUUAUGUUCAAUUAUUCCACUGAGAUUGGUACACAGAUAAGGCUUAUCUAGUUGCGAUAGAAAUGUAAAGGUCAUUUGAGAUUGAGCUGACAUAUAUCCAGUGUUUACCGUGAAUGCAGUCUCCAUGAAGGCCAAAACAUUUACAUUACAUUUACAUUUAAGUCAUUUAGCAGACGCUCUUAUCCAGAGCGACUUACAAAUUGGUGCAUUCACCUUAUGACAUCCAGUAGAAUAGUCACUUUACAAUAGUGCAUCUAAAUCUUAAA